rnacentral:rRNA from 1 species
CCUACGGGUGGCAGCAGUGGGGAAUAUUGGACAAUGGGGGGAACCCUGAUCCAGCCAUGCCGCGUGUGUGAAGAAGGCCCUCGGGUUGUAAAGCACUUUCAGUGAGGAAGAACGCCUGGUGGUUAAUACCCAUCAGGAAAGACAUCACUCACAGAAGAAGCACCGGCUAACUCCGUGCCAGCAGCCGCGGUAAUACGGAGGGUGCGAGCGUUAAUCGGAAUUACUGGGCGUAAAGCGCGCGUAGGUGGCUUGAUAAGCCGGUUGUGAAAGCCCCGGGCUCAGCCUGGGAACGGCAUCCGGAACUGUCAAGCUAGGGUGCAGGGGAGGAAGGUAGAAUUCCCGGUGUAGCGGAGAAAUGCGUAGUGAUCGGGAGGAAUACCAGUGGCGAAGGGGGCCUUCUGUACUGACACUGACACUGAGGUGCGAAAGCGUGGGUAGCAAACAGGAUUAGAUACCCUAGUAGUC